CAUGCACUAAACAGACGCGGGUGAUUAUCUUGGUUAUUUGUACCCUGUGUUUGAUCUUCUACUUUGUCGGUUAUUUUUGAUUGCCUUCCAGCUUUGUAAGAGUAUCCUGCACAUUGAAUAGCUCUUAAGACCUAGAGGAAGGAGCAAAUGACCAGGGGCACACCUGUACAUUUUACAGCAUGUAGGAGGUCCACGCAUUAGACACAAGCCAAGCCUGGUUUGCAACAGAUCCUUUGGAGUGUAUGGGAAUGGGUCUUAAUGGAAAAGAAUGCUUCCUGCGCACCUUUGGGACAUUCUGGACAUGCGACUCCAAAGUCUGUGUACAAGAAAGAACAAGUCAGUCAGUCUGUGACGGCUCCAGCUCACCUUGGUCUAAUUACAUUCGCCAGAAAUAUUUGACUCGCUUCCAAUGCUCUAAAUAUUAAUAUCACCUGUUUUUUGUUAAUUCCUGAUUUGUGUGUGUAUAUAAUAUAUAUUGUUCAUGUUAGUGUUUGCAAAGUUUCAUUCUAGUGAUUCUAAGCUUGUUUUGUAUACUUACCUGUCUCUCUGUUCCCUUUCUCUUUGUCAAUGAUCUUUUGUCUGUUCAUUGGGACUGUGUCAUUUUUCCUGCCCCUUUGGAUUUGUUAGCUUUUGUUAUUUGCCUGCUCUGUUUCCAAUUUGCACUUGUUCCUGGACUUUGUUUUUUGGAUAUCUAUUGGUCUUUGUGUAUUAAACCCCCUAUAUCCUA